GCCGGCCUAGCUCAAUUGGUAGAGCAACUGACUUGUAAUCAGUAGGUUGGGGGUUCAAGUCCUCUGGCCGGCACCA
rnacentral:tRNA from 4615 species